AUGGCUCAGGACGAACGCUGGCGGCGUGCCUAACACAUGCAAGUCGAGCGAGGAGAUCCUCGGGAUGAUCCUAGCGGCGGACGGGUGAGUAACACGUGGGCAACCUGCCUCAUAGAGAGGAAUAGCCUUCCGAAAGGGAGAUUAAUACCUCAUAACAUUGCAGUUUCGCAUGGAACAGCAAUUAAAGGAGUAAUCCGCUAUGAGAUGGGCCCGCGGCGCAUUAGCUAGUUGGUGAGGUAACGGCUCACCAAGGCGACGAUGCGUAGCCGACCUGAGAGGGUGAUCGGCCACAUUGGGACUGAGACACGGCCCAGACUCCUACGGGAGGCAGCAGUGGGGAAUAUUGCACAAUGGGGGAAACCCUGAUGCAAGCAACGCCGCGUGAGUGAUGACGGCCUUCGGGUUGUAAAGCUCUGUCUUCAGGGACGAUAAUGACGGUACCUGAGGAGGAAGCCACGGCUAACUACGUGCCAGCCGCAGC
rnacentral:rRNA from 1 species